rnacentral:rRNA from 1 species
GAUGAACGCUAGCGGCAGGCUUAAUACAUACAAGUCGUGGGGCAGCAUGAGUAGCAAUACUUGAUGGCGACCGGCAAACGGGUGAGGAACACGUACACAACCUUCCUUCAAGCAGGGAAUAGCCCAGAGAAAUUUGGAUUAAUACCCCAUAAUAUAUUUGAUAAGGCAUCUUAUUAAAUAUUAAAGCUUCGGCACUUGAUGAUGGGUGUGCGGCUGAUUAGAUAGUUGGCGGGGUAACGGCCCACCAAGUCUACGAUCAGUAGCUGAUGUGAGAGCAUGAUCAGCCACACGGGCACUGAGACACGGGCCCGACUCCUACGGGAGGCAGCAGUAAGGAAUAUUGGACAAUGGACGAAAGUCUGAUCCAGCCAUGCCGCGUGAAGGAUUAA